rnacentral:rRNA from 1 species
UACGAAGGGGGCUAGCGUUGCUCGGAGGGACUGGGCGUAAAGGGCGCGUAGGCGGAUGGCACAGUCAGAUGUGAAAUUCCCGGGCUUAACCUGGGGGCUGCAUUUGAUACGUGUUGUCUUGAGUUCGGAAGAGGGUCGUGGAAUUCCCAGUGUAGAGGUGAAAUGCGCAGAUAUCGGGAAGAACACCCGUGGCGAAGGCGGCUCUCUGGGACGGUACUGACGCUGAGACGCGAAAGCGUGGGGAGCGAACAGG